UAUAAAUAAUUUUUAUGUCUUGCUAGCCCCA
rnacentral:piRNA from 1 species